rnacentral:ncRNA from 1 species
CCAAUCCCGUCCGGUAGAGCCGGGCCAGCAGCCGGAAGCGAGUCUUGCGUGGCGGGGGGCGACCCUCACUGCGAAGCGUAGACAGCGAGAUCAAAAGCCGUGCCAUUGAGCCCCGAAAUCAACACUUGUGGUGAGCCUUCGUCGUUGCCUGAAACGGGGGCCGCGUCGGUCCGAUUACACUUGGUCCCACAGAAUCGGUCCGUUCACGCCGGGGUCGGAGAACA